UAAUUUAUAUGUAAUUAGUUAAAUUUAUUUAUAUUUAA
rnacentral:tRNA from 1 species